rnacentral:rRNA from 1 species
AGCGAACGCUGGCGGCAGGCCUAACACAUGCAAGUCGAACGAACCUUUCGGGGUUAGUGGCGGACGGGUGAGUAACACGUGGGAACGUGCCUUUAGGUUCGGAAUAACUCAGGGAAACUGGUGCUAAUACCGAAUGUGCCCUUCGGGGGAAAGAUUUAUCGCCUUUAGAGCGGCCCGCGUCUGAUUAGCUAGUUGGUUGAGGUAAUGGCUCACCAAGGCGACGAUCAGUGGCUGGUCUGAGAGGAUGAUCAGCCACAUUGGGACUGAGACACGGCCCAAACUCCUACGGGAGGCAGCAGUGGGGAAUCUUGCGCAAUGGGCGAAAGCCUGACGCAGCCAUGCCGCGUGAAUGAUGAAGGGCUUAGGAUUGUAAAAUUCUUUCACCGGGGACGAUAAUGACGGUACCCGGAGAAGAAGCCCCGGCUAACUUCGUG